rnacentral:rRNA from 1 species
GAUGAACGCUCGCGAUAGGCUUAACACAUGCAAGUCGAGGGGCAGCAUGGUCUUAGCUUGCUAAGGCUGAUGGCGACCGGCGCACGGGUGCGUAACGCGUAUGCAACUUGCCUCACAGAGGGGGAUAGCCCGUCGAAAGACGGACUAAUACCGCGUACACUCUAUGUUGGGCAUCCAAUGUAGAGGAAAUGAAAUUCGCUGUGAGAUAGGCAUGCGUCCCAUUAGCUAGUUGGUGAGGUAACGGCUCACCAAGGCGACGAUGGGUAGGGGAACUGAGAGGUUGAACCCCCACACUGGUACUGAGACACGGACCAGACUCCUACGGGAGGCAGCAGUGAGGAAUAUUGGUCAAUGGGCGAGAGCCUGAACCAGCCAAGUCGCGUGAAGGAUGACUGUCUUAUGGAUUGUAAACUUCUUUUAUACGGGAAUAACAAGAGUCACGUGUGGCUCCCUGCAUGUACCGUAUGAAUAAGCAUCGGCUAACUCCGUG